rnacentral:rRNA from 1 species
CUAAGGCUCCGGAGGAAGCCACGGCUAACUCUGUGCCAGCAGCCGCGGUAAUACAGAGGCGGCAAGCGUUGUUCGGAAUUAUUGGGCGUAAAGAGCACGUAGGCGGCCGUGUAAGUCGGUUGUGAAAGCCUUCCGCUCAACGGGAGGACGGCAUCCGAUACUGCAUGGCUAGAGUGCGGGAGGGGAGAGUGGAACUUCUGGUGGAGCGGUGAAAUGCGUAGAUAUCAGAAGGAACACCGGCGGCGAAGGCGACUCUCUGGCCCGUAACUGACGCUGAGUGUGCGAAAGCUAGGGGAGCAAACGGGAUUAGAUACCCCGGUAGUCCUAGCCGUAAA